rnacentral:rRNA from 1 species
AUGCUUACUUUCUUUGAGCAUUUUGAACGGCUAGUUUCAGAUAAAAGAUGUGAAGAGGUGAAGUAUGACUUUAAAGCAACACAAACUACUCCAAAGUUGAAGGCUGAAUCAAGCCAUAUGCUAACACAAGCUGCAGCUACAUAUACUCCAGUAAUAUUCAAGAUGUUUCAAGAUCAAGUGCUUCGGACUCUGAACUACGACACAUUGCUUUGUGAUGAAAGUGACACAGAGUUGAGGAUUUAUAUAGUAAAAUUUCAUGGCACACAACGGGAGCAUGUUGUUAGAUUCAUUCCAAAAGAAGAAAAGAUAUCCCUGGAGAAUAUAUCUUAA